ACCAGACACUGACCACUCAUGGGACAGCCCAACAGACACACCAACGGAAGAUCUCAGACUACCUAUCCCAACACAUAACCAAAACGCUCUCCCAGGAACAAUCGGAGGACCUGGAGCAACCCCUAACUCUCGAGGAACUCAAGGGAGCCCUGAAAAGCAUGAAACCCCACAGGGCACCCAGCCCGGACGGGCUGCCGCUCUC